rnacentral:rRNA from 1 species
GUUGAACGCUAGCGAUAGGCUUAACACAUGCAAGUCGAGGGGCAGCACAAGGUAGCUUGCUCUCUGGGUGGCGACCGGCGCACGGGUGCGUAACGCGUAUGCAACUUGCCCUAUACAGGAGGAUAACCCGUCGAAAGACGGACUAAUACUGCGUAUGCUCACAACUUGGCAUCAAGUGGUGAGGAAAGAAAUUCGGUAUAGGAUAGGCAUGCGUCCCAUUAGCUUGUUGGUGAGGUAACGGCUCACCAAGGCAACGAUGGGUAGGGGAACUGAGAGGUUUAUCCCCCACACUGGUACUGAGACACGGACCAGACUCCUACGGGAGGCAGCAGUGAGGAAUAUUGGUCAAUGGGCGCGAGCCUGAACCAGCCAAGUCGCGUGAAGGAGGACUGUCUUAUGGAUUGUAAACUUCUUUUAUACGGGAAUAACAAGAGUCACGUGUGACUCCCUGCAUGUACCGUAUGAAUAAGCAUCGGCUAACUCCGUG